AUUGAACGCUGGCGGCAGGCCUAACACAUGCAAGUCGAACGAGUGGCGGACGGGUGAGUAAUGUAUGGGAAACUGCCCGAUAGAGGGGGAUAACUACUGGAAACGGUAGCUAAUACCGCAUACUAUCGGAUGUGCCCAGAUGGGAUUAGCUAGUGGGUGGGGUAAAGGCUCACCUAGGCGACGAUCCCUAGCUGGUCUGAGAGGAUGACCAGCCACACUGGAACUGAGACACGGCCCAGACUCCUACGGGAGGCAGCAGUGGGGAAUAUUGCACAAUGGGCGCAAGCCUGAUGCAGCCAUGCCGCGUGUAUGAAGAAGGCCUUCGGGUUGUAAAGUACUUUCAGCGGGGAGGCGUUACUCGCAGAAGAAGCACCGGCUAACUCCGUGCCAGCAGCCGCGGUAAUAC
rnacentral:rRNA from 1 species